rnacentral:rRNA from 1 species
UACGUAGGGUGCAAGCGUUGUCCGGAAUUAUUGGGCGUAAAGAGCUCGUAGGCGGCUCGUCGCGUCGGCUGUGAAAACCUGGGGCUCAACCCCGGGCCUGCAGCCGAUACGGGCGAGCUAGAAUUCGGUAGGGGAGACUGGAAUUCCUGGUGUAGCGGUGGAAUGCGCAGAUAUCAGGAGGAACACCGGUGGCGAAGGCAGGUCUCUGGGCCACUACUGACGCUGAGAAGCGAAAGCAUGGGGAGCGAACAGG